GAAAUGCGAUACGUAAUGUGAAUUGCAGAAUUCCGUGAAUCAUUGAAUCUUUGAACGCACCUUGCGCCCCUUGGUAUUCCGAGGGGCAUGCCUGUUUGAGUGUCAUUGAAACCCCUCAACUUGACCUUUUUGGAGGUCGAGCUUGGAUUUGGAGAGUGCCGGCCAGUUUCGGCUCCUCUGAAAAGCAUUAGCGAGCGACUCUUGCGUCUGCUUUGGCGUUGAUAAACCUGUCUACGCCCUGGGCACGCUCGACGCGUUUGCUUACAGUCGUCUCUAGGGACAACCGUAACCCAACAAUCACCUCAAAUCAGGUAGGACUACCCGCUGAACUUAA
rnacentral:rRNA from 1 species